rnacentral:rRNA from 1 species
UACAGAGGUCUCAAGCGUUGUUCGGAUUCAUUGGGCGUAAAGGGUGCGUAGGCGGCGCGGUAAGUCGGGUGUGAAAUCUUGGAGCUUAACUCCGAAACUGCAUUCGAUACUGCCGUGCUUGAGGACUGGAGAGGAGACUGGAAUUCAUGGUGUAGCAGUGAAAUGCGUAGAGAUCGUAAGGAAGACCAGUGGCGAAGGCGGGUCUCUGGACAGUUCCUGACACUGAGGCACGAAGGUCAGGGGAGCAAACGGG